rnacentral:rRNA from 1 species
GACGUAGGGUCCAAGCGUUGUCCGGAUUUACUGGGCGUAAAGAGCGCGUAGGCGGUCUGUUAAGUGUAGAGUGAAAUCUCCAGGGCUCAACCCGGAAACUGCUCUGCAUACUGGCAGACUGGAGUGAUGCAGAGGUUUGUGGAAUUCCUGGUGUAACGGUGAAAUGUGUUGAUAUCAGGAGGAACACCCAUGGCGAAGGCAGCAAACUGGGCAUUAACUGACGCUGAGGCGCGAAAAGCGUGGGUAGCAAACAGG